rnacentral:rRNA from 1 species
UGCAGUCGACGAGAAUCUAAUGACGGAGUUUUCGGACAACUGAUUUAGAGGACAGUGGCGGACUGGUGAGUAACGCGUGAGGAACCUGCCUUUCAGAGGGGGACAACAGUUGGAAACGACUGCUAAUACCGCAUGAUGUGUAAUCGGGACAUCCCGGAUACACCAAAGAUUUAUCGCUGAAAGAUGGCCUCGCGUCUGAUUAGAUAGUUGGCGGGGUAACGGCCCACCAAGUCGACGAUCAGUAGCCGGACUGAGAGGUUGAACGGCCACAUUGGGACUGAGAUACGGCCCAGACUCCUACGGGAGGCAGCAGUGGGGAAUAUUGGGCAAUGGGGGAAACCCUGACCCAGCAACGCCGCGUGAAGGAAGAAGGCUUUCGGGUUGUAAACUUCUUUUACCAGGGACGAAGGACGUGACGGUACCUGGAGAAAAAGCCACGGCUAACUACGUGCCAGCAGCCGCGGUAAUACGUAGGUGGCAAGCGUUGUCCGGAUUUACUGGGUGUAAAGGGUGCGUAGGCGGCUUUGCAAGUCAGAUGUGAAAUCUAUGGGCUCAACCCAUAAACUGCAUUUGAAACUGUAGAGCUUGAGUGAAGUAGAGGCAGGCGGAAUUCCCCGUGUAGCGGUGAAAUGCGUAGAGAUGGGGAGGAACACC